UACGAAGGGGGCGAGCGUUGCUCGGAAUCACUGGGCGUAAAGGGCGCGUAGGCGGCCCUCCUAGUCGCGUGUGAAAGCCCCGGGCUCAACCUGGGAACGGCGCGCGAAACGGUGAGACUGGAGUCUUGGAGAGGGUCGUGGAAUUCCCGGUGUAGCGGUGAAAUGCGUAGAGAUCGGGAGGAACACCAGCGGCGAAGGCGGCGACCUGGACAAGUACUGACACUCAACUACGAAAGCGUGGGGAGCAAACAGG
rnacentral:rRNA from 1 species